GCGAGCAUAGUUUAGUGGCAAAACUUCUGCCUUCCAAGCAGGUAUCGUCGGUUCGAUUCCGACUGCUCGCACCA
rnacentral:tRNA from 1 species